rnacentral:rRNA from 1 species
AGAGUUUGAUUCUGGCUCAGGAUGAACGCUGGCGGCGUGCUUAACACAUGCAAGUCGAACGAAGCAACUAUCUUGCUUGCAAGAGAGUUGACUUAGUGGCGGACGGGUGAGUAACGCGUGGGUAACCUGCCUCAUACAGGGGGAUAACAGUUGGAAACGACUGCUAAGACCGCAUAACCCGCUAGUGUCGCAUGACACGGACGGAAAAUAUUUAUAGGUAUGAGAUGGGCCCGCGUCUGAUUAGCUAGUUGGUAAGGUAACGGCUUACCAAGGCGACGAUCAGUAGCCGACUUGAGAGAGUGAUCGGCCACAUUGGGACUGAGACACGGCCCAAACUCCUACGGGAGGCAGCAGUGGGGAAUAUUGGACAAUGGGGGAAACCCUGAUCCAGCCGACGCCGCGUGAGUGAAGAAGUAUUUCGGUAUGUAAAGCUCUAUCAGCAGGGAAGAUAAUGACAGUACCUGACUAAGAAGCCCCGGCUAACUACGUGCCAGCAGCUGC